GUAGUACAUAUAAAACAUUUCUGG
rnacentral:siRNA from 1 species